rnacentral:rRNA from 1 species
UACGGGGGGCAAGCGUUGUUCGGAAUUACUGGGCGUAAAGGGCUCGUAGGCGGCCAACUAAGUCAGACGUGAAAUCCCUCGGCUUAACCGGGGAACUGCGUCUGAUACUGGAUGGCUUGAGUUUGGGAGAGGGAUGCGGAAUUCCAGGUGUAGCGGUGAAAUGCGUAGAUAUCUGGAGGAACACCGGUGGCGAAGGCGGCAUCCUGGACCAACACUGACGCUGAGUGAGCGAAAGCCAGGGGAGCAAACGGG